UUGUGUCAAAUUAACAUUUACUAUCACAAAUAUGGAAUAUGAAAGACAAAAUCCAGCGAACAAUACUGAAAUACCAGAAAAAAAGAAGCCAAAAAUCAAUAAAAGGACAUUGGAUAAAAUAGCCAGGGUUAAAGGUCAACCUUUUUUUUAAUAAUAAAGGAAUAGCCAAGCCUGCUAGAGUUACUGGGCCAGAUUACAGAUGUGCUCAUUUGAAAUGCUUUGAGAAGAUUACAGAAGAUAAAACAAAUACCACUUUAACCAAAUUUAAUAUGCUCGAAUCUAAAGAUGCCCAGAACAGUCAUCUUGCUGGAUUAAUAUCAUUUGGCCCCCCACGGCAAAGACGUAGUCGUAGAAGACAUCAAGAUAUGCCACAGGAUAAUGAAAAUCAUGAAGUGGAAGAUGCUGUGGAUGAGCCUUUACUACAAAAACAUAAACAUCUAGCUUCUUAUAAAUACAAAAUAAGAGAUAGAGUCAAUGAAGUGCUGGUGUGUGCCAAAGCAUUUUGUAGCAUAUAUGGAAUCUCAAAAGAAAGAUUGCGACGAAUAAGGUUAUGUCUUGUAAAAACAGGAAAAUCUCCAAAGGACAGACGGGGUCAUCAUGCAAAUACACCUCGAAAAACUGACAGAAGAGUGUACACUACUCUUCGUGAUCAUAUAAAAUCUUUUAAGUGUCGAUAGUCUCAUUAUUUUCGCAGAGGUAAUCCAAAUGUAUACUACUUACCAGAAACUUUAAGUUUCAAAAAAAUGUAUAAAAUGUU